CUCUUCCUUUCACCUCCUCUACCUCUCCCUAUAAAACAACUCUGUAUUAGUAUGUCCCUCUGAGUCCUGGAGAGUAGAGAAGAGCAAAACCCACCAGUUCACCUUCAACACAAACCAUGUUCCCUCCAUCUCUAUUGCUGUAGCUAGCCUCCAAUACGGACCAGCCAGGUCAACUACUGACCAGCUCAUAUAAGGUUUCAUACGCUGUUACUAGCUCUAGUACAAAUUGGAUUUGCCAGCCUGUAGGGAAAACACUGGAGUGGAUUGGAUGUACUGUAUCAAUAAUGAAGCAUAACUUAUAAAUAUGAACAACAGCAUCACUGGUGCCACUUCCAGCAACACAUUGUUUUUAAAAGGACAGACUCUGCAGACUGAGGACACAGCUGUGUAUUAUUGUGCUCGAGACACACCGCUGGGGCAGCUUCACCAAAACCACCCAGUCAAAAGUAUGCCACAAAUGCACACGCAAUACCUCUGUGGCCCACCUAGGGGUCACUGCCCCUUCUUAGAGUUCCACUGUUCUACAGUAUGAUGUCCCAAUACUGUACUAUAAUAUGUAACACUCCACAUUCUUACAAAUUAUCUUUCAUAUUCCUGUAGUGCAAAGAACAUUUAUUUUACAAUCUAAAGAGAUGAUGCACAACUCACUCUUUAAGUAUAAUUAUACAUGCUCAUCUGUGCACGCUAUCCUUAAUCCACAAUGGACGGUCAAAAUGGAUUGGCAUUUCUUCAUAUACAUUUGGAUUAUAAAAUCUGACAAGAUCAACUCUACUGGAUGAAGACAAAUUUCCAAGGUAAAAAUAAGAUAAUUUAUUGAAUCAGAGAGAUUUGUGAUGACUCCAGGGAAAUAUGACAGGUACCUGUCAUAGAUGUCUUGGUCUCUGGUGUGUGGAGAGGUUUUUGUAUGGGUGUGUGUCAUCGUGAUAACAACGGGGGCACAGUGUUACAAACCAUAACAAAAACCACUGUAGUGGAAAUGGCUACCUACUUCAUCUCAUACGCAAUUACAAGAUAAACAUUUAAACAUCUACUCCAACUAUUGGAUUCCGACAACAGAAUAUAUUUGUUUUAAAUUAAAAAAGCAGUAUUUUUAAAUUUAAAUAAGAACUAAAAAUUAACUUAAUCACUGUCUAUAAAACUGUCCCAGCAAAGUUCUUUAAUCCUUGCUAUGAUCAAAAUGCCUGACAGAGCAAAAUCUGAAAGCCCAAACUAAUAAAAUAGAUUUUAAUAAGUAGUUAAACAUAAUUUGACAUACUGUUCAUCAGAUCAAAAUCAAUAGAUCAUGUUAUGGUUGUUGUGAAAAGUUGCACAUGUUUAUUCCAGCUUUGGUCUUGCAUAGAGUGGUGGGGAGGUUUUUGUACAGGGUUAAACCACUGUGUCAUAUAGCGGGUCACAAUGAUACAGUCCAUGACAAAAACCUACCACCUCUACCAAGCACAGAGUGUGAGAGUGGUGACAUAUAAGGAACACAGACAUAUACAUUCUGAUUGUCUAUAGGCAGCUAACCUACACGUGCUGGUACAUUUCUACACAUUAUCAACUCAAACAAAUGUCCAUACUCUUUAGGCCUACUUCAGACAAGAAAAACUUUAAAACAGACAUACACCGAGGAACAACUAUUUUUAUGUACACUGUAAAUCAUGUGAUCUAAAAAAUUUGCUUAAAUUGAACUUCAAUGGUUGUUGUAAAUGACACAGAAUUGGAAAAAGACAUUGUGCACAUGGAGACAUUGGAGGUUUCAGUGAGUUUAACGGAGGAUUCUGUGGCUGUAUGUAACAUGGGUUUUUGUAAUGGUGUGAGUCACUGUGUACGGGAAUGGCCACAGUGAUAAACAUCAAUACUAAAACCCCUCCAUGGACAUGAGGGUUGGCAGGAUGGUACUGUCUGCACACUGACUACACUCUGGACCCAUAUGGGAGAUCAUUUCACUGCUAUGAAUUUGGAUGGUCAUAUUCUCAUCUUCGUUUUCUCCAUCCCAGUAUUGGUUGCUAUUCUACUAUUGUGUCCUAUGUUUCUGAUUUCAUACUGAUUCCUACUGUGCUGUUUUUAGCCAAAAUGUUGUAUGACAACCAUGUUUGUUUUUCUGACACGCCUGUCCAUAUAAAUAUACAGUAGCACUCUUUAAAGGUGGUCAGUCCUG
rnacentral:lncRNA from 1 species